AAGCCGCGGCACCGCUUCCCUGGGAGCACGGACGCAAACCACGUUUCCAGCUACCUCGCUCACCAACCCCGGACGCCGGCCGGUCCUUAGCCGGCCCUGGGGACCUUUAACGUGCGGAGUGAGUUCCAAGGCACAGAGAAAUCGAGUAACCUGCUCAAUUCAAUGCCUCCAUCUGCAAGACCCCAGCUUGAUGACUUCAAGGCCAAACACGAACCCGCCUCUUGGUCGCGUUGACCGCCGUGUUAUGAUGACCCCUUAAUUCCGGGGGUGGGGACUCCCGUGGGGGCUUGGUGGUUCGCCUUUCUUUCUGUGGACACCCAACUGGCACCCAUGCUGAGUCCUGAGACUGUGGAGUUAAAUGAGGACCUGACCGCGGGUGAAGGGAGCUGGGGCAAACUCAGGACUGUCUGCGACCAUUCAUCAUGCCUGGUUCCAGGCCAAGGUAAGCAACAAACCUCUGGACAGCUGCAGGGAAUAAUGGCCCCCUGGCCUGGUGCUGACCAGUCAGUCAGUCAGUGGAGACCACAACC